AUUGAACGCUGGCGGCAGGCCUAACACAUGCAAGUCGAGCGCGCGGCGGACGGGUGAGUAUUGUCUGGGAAACUGCCUGUUGUAGGGGGAUAACUACUGGAAACGGUAGCUCAUACCGCAUACCCUCUGAUGUGCCCAGAUGGGAUUAGCUAGUAGGUGGGGUAUUGGCUCACCUAGGCAACGAUCCCUAGCUGGUCUGAGAGGAUGACCAGCCACACGGGAACUGAGACACGGUCCAGACUCCUACGGGAGGCAGCAGUGGGGAAUAUUGCACAAUGGGCGCAAGCCUGAUGCAGCCAUGCCGCGUGUAUGAAGAAGGCCUUCGGGUUGUAAAGUACUUUCAGCGAGGAGGCGUUACUCGCAGAAGAAGCACCGGCUAACUCCGUGCCAGCAGCCGCGGUAAUAC
rnacentral:rRNA from 1 species